rnacentral:rRNA from 1 species
GACGAACGCUGGCGGCGUGCUUAACACAUGCAAGUCAAGGGGGCCCAGUAGCAAUACUGGGCAACCGGCGAACGGGUGCGUAACACGUGAGCAACCUACCGAAAUGUGGGGGAUAGCCGGCCUAACGGCCGAGUAAUACCGCAUACGCUCUCGAUGAGGCAUUUCAUUGAGAGGAAACCUACGGGACAUUUCGAGGGGCUCGCGGCCUAUCAGCUAGUUGGCGAGGAACGGCUCACCAAGGCAACGACGGGUAGCUGGUCUGAGAGGAUGGCCAGCCACAUUGGGACUGAGAUACGGCCCAGACUCCUACGGGAGGCAGCAGUGGGGAAUCUUGCGCAAUGGCCUAACGGCUGACGCAGCGACGCCGCGUGUGGGAUGAAGCUCUUCGGAGUGUAAACCACUGUUGCCCGGGACGAAUAGCUCGAUUAAUCGAGCCUGACGGUACCGGGUGAGGAAGC